rnacentral:rRNA from 1 species
GGUGAUCAUAAUAACUUAACGAAUCGCAUGGCCUUGCGCCGGCGAUGGUUCAUUCAAAUUUCUGCCCUAUCAACUUUCGAUGGUAGGAUAGUGGCCUACCAUGGUGGCAACGGGUAACGGGGAAUUAGGGUUCGAUUCCGGAGAGGGAGCCUGAGAAACGGCUACCACAUCCAAGGAAGGCAGCAGGCGCGCAAAUUACCCAAUCCCGAUACGGGGAGGUAGUGACAAUAAAUACUGAUACGGGGCUCUUUUGGGUCUCGUAAUUGGAAUGAGAACAAUUUAAAUCCCUUAACGAGGAACAAUUGGAGGGCAAGUCUGGUGCCAGCAGCCGCGGUAAUUCCAGCUCCAAUAGCGUAUAUUAAAGUUGUUGCAGUUAAAAAGCUCGUAGUUGAACCUUGGGUCUGGCUGGCCGGUCCGCCUCACCGCGAGUACUGGUCCGGCUGGACCUUUCCUUCUGGGGAACCUCAUGGCCUUCACUGGCUGUGGGGGGAACCAGGACUUUUACUGUGAAGAAAUUAGAGUGUUCAAAGCAGGCCUUUGCUCGAAUACAUUAGCAUGGAAUAAUAGAAUAGGACGUGCGGUUCUAUUUUGUUGGUUUCUAGGACCGCCGUAAUGAUUAAUAGGGAUAGUCGGGGGCGUCAGUAUUCAGCUGUCAGAGGUGAAAUUCUUGGAUUUGCUGAAGACUAACUACUGCGAAAGCAUUCGCCAAGGAUGUUUUCAUUAAUCAGGGAACGAAAGUUAGGGGAUCGAAGACGAUCAGAUACCGUCGUAGUCUUAACCAUAAACUAUGCCGACUAGGGAUCGGACGGGAUUCUAUAAUGACCCGUUCGGCACCUUACGAGAAAUCAAAGUUUUUGGGUUCUGGGGGGAGUAUGGUCGCAAGGCU